GACGAACGCUGGCGGCGUGCUUAACACAUGCAAGUCGAACGGAAAGGCCCUGCUUUUGUGGGGUGCUCGAGUGGCGAACGGGUGAGUAACACGUGAGUAACCUGCCCUUGACUUUGGGAUAACUUCAGGAAACUGGGGCUAAUACCGGAUAGGAGCUCCUGCUGCAUGGUGGGGGUUGGAAAGUUUCGGCGGUUGGGGAUGAACUCGCGGCUUAUCAGCUUGUUGGUGGGGUAGUGGCUUACCAAGGCUUUGACGGGUAGCCGGCCUGAGAGGGUGACCGGCCACACUGGGACUGAGGUACGGCCCAGACUCCUACGGGAGGCAGCAGUGGGGAAUAUUGCACAAUGGGCGGAAGCCUGAUGCAGCAACGCCGCGUGCGGGAUGACGGCCUUCGGGUUGUAAACCGCUUUCGCCUGUGACGAAGCGUGAGUGACGGUAAUGGGUAAAGAAGCACCGGCUAACUACGUG
rnacentral:rRNA from 1 species